UAUAAGGGAUUUUGAGUUUUUGCUUGCAACGUUUGACCACUCGUCUUAUUCAAUUUUUUUUGAAAUUAUUAUUUAUUUUAUUUGUGACUUACUUUAUUAUCCACAAUACUUUAAGCACAACUUUUCAUUUUUUAUAUUUGCAAAAAAAAUGAAUAAGACGAGUAGUCAAACGUUGCAUGCAAAAACUCAAAAUCCCUUAUA
rnacentral:pre_miRNA from 1 species